AGAGUUUGAUCAUGGCUCAGAAUCAACGCUGGCGGCGUGCCUCAGACAUGCAAGUCGAACGCGAAAGCUCCCUUCGGGGAGCAAGUAGAGUGGCGCACGGGUGAGUAACACGUAGGUAAUCUACCUUUGGAUGGGGAAUAACAACCGGAAACGGUUGCUAAUACCGCAUAAUGCAGCGGCACCUAAUGGUGACAGUUGUUAAAGCGGGGGAUCGUAAGACCUCGCGUCUGAAGAGGAGCCUGCGGCAGAUUAGCUAGUUGGUAGGGUAACGGCUUACCAAGGCGAUGAUCUGUAGCCGGCCUGAGAGGGCGGUCGGCCACACUGACACUGACAUACGGGUCAGACUCCUACGGGAGGCAGCAGUCGGGAAUUUUGGGCAAUGGGCGAAAGCCUGACCCAGCAACGCCGCGUGAAGGAUGAAAUCCCUCGGGAUGUAAACUUCGCAAGAACGGGAAGAAUAAGUAAGGGUUAAUAUCUCUUACGAUGACGGUACUGUUUGUAAGCUCCGGCUAACUCCGUGCCAGCAGCCGCGGUAAUACGGGGGGAGCAAGCGUUGUUCGGAUUUACUGGGCGUAAAGGGCGCGUAGGCGGCCUCUGCAAGUCGACUGUGAAAUCUCCGGGCUUAACCCGGAAAGGUCAGCCGAUACUGCAGGGCUAGAGUGCAGAAGGGGCAACUGGAAUUCUCGGUGUAGCGGUGAAA
rnacentral:rRNA from 1 species